GUGGGGAAUAUUGCACAAUGGGGGGAACCCUGAUGCAGCGAUGCCGCGUGGAGGAAGAAGGUUUUCGGAUUGUAAACUCCUUUUGUCUGGGAAGAUAAUGACUGUACCAGAUGAAUAAGCUCCGGCUAACUACGUGCCAGCAGCCGCGGUAAUACGUAGGGAGCGAGCGUUGUCCGGAAUUACUGGGUGUAAAGGGAGCGUAGGCGGGAUUGCAAGUCAGAUGUGAAAUACAUGGGCUCAACCCAUGGGCUGCAUUUGAAACUGUAGUUCUUGAGUGAAGUAGAGGCAAGCGGAAUUCCUGGUGUAGCGGUGAAAUGCGUAGAUAUCAGGAGGAACACCGGUGGCGAAGGCGGCUUGCUGGGCUUUUACUGACGCUGAGGCUCGAAAGCGUGGGGAGCAAACAGGAUUAGAAACCCUGGUAGUCC
rnacentral:rRNA from 1 species